rnacentral:sRNA from 1 species
GGAAGCUGACCUACUGUGACAUCCACUACACUCUUGGUUGCCAAGGUGGGGUUGGCUGACCUGGCAGGCUAAAGGGUGUGCCGCUCCUCUCUUAUCCACCCAGUGGGCCCUUCCUGAAACCAAGUCAGAAAGACUGAUCUUCUCAGCUUGAGGGAAAUGGUGUAGGAGGAACAGUGCUGCUCUGACAGAAGAGUGAAAGGAUUUCUGAGUUCUUAUCUGUUUUGCUAGGAGUUACGCAGUGAGACAGAGAUGAAUCUGUACUUGCCAUUU